AGAGAGAGAGAGAGAGAGAAGUUGUUCAGUAAAAAGGAAAAUAUAGAGAAAAUGGGAUAGGGCAGUGAAUAACAAGGGCUAAAAGGCCUAAUUAAUAUCGUAAAAGGGUCUUAUAAUAAGGAGGGAGUGGGGAACAAGAGGCCUGAAAGCCAUUCACGUGACUUCAUGUCACCCAAACAAAACAUGCUAAGACAAGACAAAUUAAAAGGAGGUGUAGAAUGCUGCGGAUACCAGAUAGGGUUUUGUCAUACUGGGGUCGAGUUGUAGCAUUC
rnacentral:misc_RNA from 1 species